rnacentral:tRNA from 1 species
GUAAAUAUAGUUUAAUAAAAACAUUAAAUUGUGGUUUUAAAAAUAGAAAAUAACAAUUUCUUAUUUACC